rnacentral:rRNA from 1 species
UACGGAGGAUCCAAGCGUUAUCCGGAAUUAUUGGGCGUAAAGGGCGCGUAGGCGGUUUGACAAGUCUGAUGUGAAAUCUCUGGGCUCAACCCAGAGUCUGCAUUAGAAACUGUCGGGCUUGAGUAUGGGAGAGGUGAGUGGAAUUUCCGGUGUAGCGGUGAAAUGCGUAGAUAUCGGAAGGAACACCUGUGGCGAAAGCGGCUCACUGGACCAUAACUGACGCUGAGGCGCGAAAGCUAGGGGAGCAAACAGG